AGAGUUUGAUCCUGGCUCAGGACGAACGCUGGCGGCGUGCCUAAUACAUGCAAGUAGAACGCUGAAGACUUUAGCUUGCUAGAGUUGGAAGAGUUGCGAACGGGUGAGUAACGCGUAGGUAACCUGCCUACUAGCGGGGGAUAACUAUUGGAAACGAUAGCUAAUACCGCAUAACAGUGUUUAACACAUGUUAGAUGCUUGAAAGAUGCAAUUGCAUCACUAGUAGAUGGACCUGCGUUGUAUUAGCUAGUUGGUGGGGUAACGGCCUACCAAGGCGACGAUACAUAGCCGACCUGAGAGGGUGAUCGGCCACACUGGGACUGAGACACGGCCCAGACUCCUACGGGAGGCAGCAGUAGGGAAUCUUCGGCAAUGGGGGCAACCCUGACCGAGCAACGCCGCGUGAGUUAAGAAGGUUUUCGGAUCGUAAAGCUCUGUUGUAAGAGAAGAACGUGUGUGAGAGUGGAAAGUUCACACAGUGACGGUAACUUACCAGAAAGGGACGGCUAACUACGUGCCAGCAGCCGCGGUAAU
rnacentral:rRNA from 1 species